CUGUCAAGAAGACUGCAGUAGCAGCUGCUGGCACUACUGGUGGACAAUGCCCCGUCUGGCAGUGUUGGGUCAGCUCCUCCAGCUUUCCCAGCAGCAGUUCCUGCAGCUGGUGCUCCUGCUCCAUUUCGCGUUGUGCGAGCUGGUGUAGAUCACACUCGACCCGUACCGGCCGCUGAUGCUGCUGUUCCAGCAGCGGUUCUUGUAGCAGGCCCACCGGAGGCACCUUCCGAGUGUGUGCCAGUGAUUGCAGAGGUCGAUGAUGAGGUUCACCUUGGUCACGGUGUCUUGGUGCAAAAGUACAAACUGUCCUACGUCAGGGGAGCCCGGGGAGACUCCAUCUUCGUUAAAGAGGCUACGAAGCUGAUCUUCGGCAGGGAGGACCUGCAUGGGCCGAGUGUGAGGUGUGCCAUGACGGCGCUUCAAGGGCGCCAUGGCCAAGAGGGCCCUGACUCCAGUCAGUCAAGUUGGCAGCAGUCAGCAAUGCCUUCAACGAGU